AGAGACUGCAAGCGUUAUUCGGAUUCACUGGGCGUAAAGGGUGCGCAGGCGGCUAAGUGUGUCAGAUGUGAAAUCCCGAGGCUCAACCUCGGAACUGCGUCUGAAACUACUUGGCUAGAGUAUUGGAGAGGGUAACGGAAUUCACGGUGUAGCAGUGAAAUGCGUAGAUAUCGUGAGGAACACCAGAGGCGAAGGCGGUUACCUGGACAAUUACUGACGCUCAGGCACGAAAGCGUGGGGAGCAAAAGGGAUUAGAUACCCCUGUAGUCCACGCCCUAAACGGUGCACACUAGGUCUUGGCGGAUUCGACCCCACCAGGGCCCAAGCKRRCGCGUUAAGUGUGCCGCCUGAGGACUACGGCC
rnacentral:rRNA from 1 species